UUUUUGGGGUGUCAUCUCUUUAAUAUAUAAUUUUAUUUCUGGUUAUAGAAACAAAUGCUAAGAGGAGAAGCAAAACUUCUCCCAACCACAUACAUCAAUUUUAGAUAACAGAUAACAGAACAGUUAAAAUAAAUGAAAAAAAAAAAAAAGUAGAAAUUUUAAACUUUGUUAUAGCUUUAAAACAUUAACGUCUGAUACAAUUAGAAAUCACAUUCAGAUCUCAAAUUACUUUAAAAAAAAGUAUGGCUCCUUAUAAAAAAAAAAAAUACUGUAUCCCAUUUGAAAUGAAAACACAGGUCUAACCUUAGAUGCUGGUUUUUCCAUCUUUAUGAUAGUCCUUUUUCCUCACCACCCUGUUAGCUGGUUUUUACAUCUUUCUUAGUUUCCCACAAUUCAUAUAAACAGACCAGUUUGUUUUUCCCCCCACAGAUAGUGAGACAUUACAAUAUGACCUAAAAUUUACAUCCAAUGCCAUAGACCCAAGCUCCCACUUUACAGAGACACCACCUGCUUUUUAAAGCACUGAUUAUCAAACAAGUUGUGAAAAACACUUUAAACAGCCACUGUAAAAAAAACAACAACAACAAAAAACACACACACAUAUGCACACAUUCUCACACUCAAAAGUAUCUUUACAUGUUUGGAUAAGAAAAAAACAAACAAAUAAAAGCUGGCUUUAUCUUAUCCAUUCCCUUAAAUUAAGUGCCAAACACUCAGGCAGAGGAAGAGACUCUAUAUGUAGCAUCUCUUUAGUCAUUAAGGGAUAUUUGAGAUUCUGUUUUCUUGAAUUUAGCCAAGCCCAUAAAGAUAUUCUGAAAUCUACAAUUUUUUUUUCUUUCAUCUAGUCUUUUGUGAUAAAGAAAAUAAUGCACAUAAAAGGAGAGAAAAUUUGAGAAAACUGCCUUUCUUGAAAAACAAAAAAAGUUUUUUAAUUUAAAAAGUUCUUCCAAAUGUAUUUAAGAUGCUUAAUAUCUAAACCAAGUAAUUUUACUGGUUAGAGAAUAAUGCUACUGAAUCUAAGGUCAUAUGUUCCGGUAGAAAAAAGAACAACUUUACUUAAUAGCCAGCCACUGACUUCAAUAACUUCAGUAGGCUCACACUUUGUGCCAUACGUCAUAAAGGCUAAUGAUUGAGAGAGUAUGGCUGGUUCAAUAUACCCCAUCACAACAAAUGGAAACUCACUGCCAAAGUGCACCAUGGACAGACCCGUGUGUCAGAAGCCUCUUUGCAUAUAAGAACAUCAAACACUUAACACAAUGAACUCUCAUCUUCUGAAUGUAGCUGAUACACAUAUAGCUAUAUAUCUUACUAAAACACAUUUGAAAAUGCCUAUGCUGCCAGAGUAAAGAAGCAUUCCAGAAUUCAGAAAUGUUUUAGCUUCUUUAAAAAAGCAAAACCAAACCAAAACUUUUCCACCUAUUAGUUUAAAAAUAAAGGUCAUCUUUGUAUGGUAAUUACCAUUUUACAUUUCAGAAACAUUACAAUAGUCCUGAUUUUUUAUGAAUUCAUUUUCAGAACUCCUGUGUCAUCAUCUGAAUAUGGCUAAUAUGCUACAAGGUAAGACAUCAAGAAGUAACUGGUUGACUUCUCAGUAAAGUAGAAUGGGACAACUCAGUUUGAUUUAUCCUAAAGCUACUAAAAGCUUGUAAGCUUGUCUGUAACAAGAGAAUAGAAAAACUAAUCAUUUUUGAAAAUGGCACUUCUCCCAUAAAAUCAAGGAAGUGGCUUUAAACUGAAAAUUUUUUUCCUAAAGUGCUGGAGAAAAAAUUGGUAUGGCCAUUGUUUAAAGGGAUGAGAAAGAUAUGUGGAAAUGCCCAAAACUAACUAAAUCCUAGGAAAAGAUUUUAAUUGGGUUUCUGGAAGAAAUACAACGAAAAUGCUUGAAAGUCUUUCUAUCCCUACUGGAAAAGUUCCUCACUCUUAUGAGUAUGCCAAGUUAGUUAAAACUUCUCCAAACAUCAUAAAAUGAAAUUUAUACUCAAAGGGUCAGAAAUGCAAUAAAAAUGCUAAUUACACAAAACAUUUUAAAUGAUUAGCUUUAGGGGAAAACAUCACAGACAAAUUAAACUUCAGGGAUAGAUUUCAGUCUCUCCAGGAAAGAAAAGGAAAUAGAAAUAUCACUUGGAGUAGUUGCUCUUAUAACUGCCAAGUCAUAUUUUCUGAGUAGAACUAUAACAUCCUGUUUAUAGUUUGCAUGUAAAUUCAGAUGCACAAACACCUAGUUUUUCAAUAUUAAUUAACCCUGCUAUCCUUUCUUAACUUUUGAAUGUACUUUUCAUUUGUCAUCAUCAGAAGGAACCAGGAAAGACUAUUUCAACAAUUAUGAAUUUCAGUGAUAUGGUAUAAAAAAAUAAUCUAAAGGGACCCUAGGACUCAGCUAUUCCAAAAGUGCAUUCUCUUUUUUCUCUCCAUGUCACUUUAUAGGAGAUAUGAAUUUGAAGGAUGGUUAUAAAAUCUCUCCCAUUAGAAACAUAGCUUAUAUAUCCAGGAUUAUAUGGAAUAAAGGGAAACAAGGGGAUCUCUAUUGGGUCAAGGAGAUACAAAGGGACAAACAAUAUAGUCCUAUUAGAUAAGAGAAAGGAUAAAGUUACUGGACACAAAAGUCUUAAGGACAAUAUCAGCUCAAUUCUCCAUUCCCUAAACUAUAUAUACUCUAUAUAUUACAUUCUCCUAGGAUUAGUGCCUGGUUUUCAUAUCUAUUUGUAUAAAAGAAAUGUAAAGUACCAUUUACAUGCAAAGGGUAUACUAAUACAAACAUAUACAUCAUAUUUUAUAUACAUAUAUUUGCAUAUAUGUAUAUGUGUAUGUGUGUAUACAUACACAUGUAUGUUUAUCAAUGUGUUUAAAAAGAGAAUCUAGAACAUAAAUGUGAGGGAAUUUAUUUUCUGUUCUUUUAAUGAAUUCAUGGCUUGUUUCUGAAUAAAGGGGGUUAGGUUAGGAAAGGGACGUUAGAAGAUCCUUAUAUCUUUCCCAGCAGCAAGAUUUUAAAUAAAGUUAUUAAAAAAAAAAAUCUCCUUUCUUCAAUCUGAGACUUCCAACACCACAUCCUAAAUAAAUUAAUGCCUUUAAAAAAUUAAAUCAAAAUUAUACCUCAAAUUUUCUCUUUAGCUUAAGGAAUUGCUUUCCCAACAUGCCCAGUGAAAUGGCUAUUUCAGUGUGCAGGUAAGAGGGAACCUUAAUGGUUAGGUAAUGAACACCAUUCUUCCAAGUAAUUGGGAUGGAAAUUUUGCUAUAACUGUACUGUGCUAAAUAGGAUCCUUGAGGCAGAUGUAAUGUGCCAUGAAACAAGCAGAGAAGACCCAACAGCUGCUUCAGUGAAGUCAAAUAGAUACAUGAGAGGAGUUACUUAAUGGAUGUUGAUCCAAAGAAAGCGAUAUCCUGACCAAACUCCCCCAAACUGAAGCAGGAGCCUGGGAUGUGAGGUACACUCAGGGAGCAUAGGCAUUGUCUCCCUGCAUGAAAUUAUACACCACAAUGGAGAAUUCUUGUAAUGCAACAUUUCUAAGUUAUUUACUGACCACUAAAUGUAGUAAUGUUUCAUUUUAUCUGAAGAUAAAAUCUAGAAAGUUGUCGUAUCAAACUGAGAAGAGAUACAAUGAACAGUAAGGAUGAACAGAACCAUAUCCUGAGCAUUAAAAAACAAAAACAAAAACCUGAUACUGAAAAAAAGUUAUGGGGAAAGAACUCUUAAUGAGUGUCAUAAAUAUAAGGGCAAAAUUCAGAAAUAGUGGGAAGUAGAAAAACAAAGUGAUUCUGAUUAAGUCAAGACACUUCCUCUGGAAGUUUAUUUAACCUUUAUCUCAAGAUUAAAUGAAUCUCUGAAGCACUCGUGUCCAAUGUAUAUAACAAUUUGGUCUCUGUAGCAGCAAGAAAACUAAAAUGCUUAUUAAAUAGCAUUGUUCCUAGGUGAUACUAAAGACUAUUCACAAUAAGGUUAUAGCUAAAAAUUCUCAUAAGAAAAAACACUAAAUUGUGGAUUAAAUAAACUAGGGCUUUAAUUUCUAUUUAUGUAUCAUUGAGGUAUAACCCAAGACAAUGAUGAUGACACCAUUUAUCAUUCAUAUAGCCUUUAUAUUUGCAAAGUGUUUUACAAUCAUUUUGGCCAGUCAUUAAUAAUGCUCUCUUUAGCAGAGAGGUACAAGAAACAGACAUAUGCACAAUGGUUGUUUUAAAAUAUUUUUUAAAAAAUAUCCAGAGGGUACAGAAUUUUCCUAAAGUAGAUAUUCUCUCAGAGGAAGAGAGGCAAACAAGAUGCUUUUUUGGUUCAAAUUCUGCUUGUUUAAUAACUAAUAGAAAGAAGACUCUUCUAAUGCUUUUCCACAUUUAGCCAAAAUUUGUAUGAAAGGUAAUGAUAUGAAACCUGCUGUGGGUUUCAAUUAAUAUGACUACAAAGUAAAAAUACUUAUAACAUUUUAGAAAAUACAAAACAAAAAGGCUCUUAUCAGAACUCUCCAAAUUACCACAACUUAUGCUGAAUAAAAAGGAUGUAAGGAAAACUAAGUUUCUACUAAAACCAGUUGAUCCCACACACCACACUCUGAAAUGUCAACUUCAUGGUAGUCUUUUAAUUAUUUUGAAGAAAUAACAAAAGUCAGAUGAAAUCCCAUUCCACUCUGCCCAAAAAAUACUCCAAUGACAAUUAAUGGAAUAUGUCUCGUGGCCUUACGACUUAACAAAGUUGUCAUGCAAAAUGCUUGUACACCCAUAUAGUAGUCUAAACAACAACGUCACUUAUUUUGAAUAGUAUAAGCAUGCAAGCAUAAUGAUUGUGAUAUUCCUUUCACUUCUAAAAUUUUUCUUUUGCUGUUUUAUUUAUUGGAGGAGGGGAGAAAGAAAAGGGUGGGUGGUAAAUGAUAGAAAAAAGGCUCAGUAAGCACUUAAAAUCAAUCACAAAACCACCUGCCCUCAGGAAAAUUGACAGGACAUUAUUCCAGAAGUAGAAGUCACUAUUCAUUCUACAUUUUCUUUAUUCCCAUCUAUUAGUUGGAAAUGCUUCCAAUCUCUUCUCUGAGAAAUGGAUUUAGAUCACCUUAAAAUGCAAUUCAUCCAAGGGGUAAAGCUACCACUAAACAGUAGACAAAUUUGAAAGUACUAGUUACUAUUGUAAUGGAUAUGACAGAGAAACAAACACUUAUAAGAAGAAAAAGUGUGUUUGGAACACUAUUUUGGUAAAUUUCAAUGAUUUUGUUUUUUUAAACUAAGGCAGUUCUCCCAAUUUGGAGGACGGGGGAGAUAUUUUUUUUUUCCCCAAACCAAAUGAGGGAAUAUGUGUGUAUGUGAGUGUGUGUAAAAUUUAAAUAUAUAUAUACAUACAUGUUUAUUUAAAGAACUCAGAUAAAAUAAGAGAAUGAUGCAUCUGAGUUCCCAACAGUCAUUUAAAUUAUAUUUUAUAUUCUGCUUAGAGGAAAAAGAAUUGAGAUUUGGGCAAAAUGUUCUAAUAGUUUAAAAAAAAUCACUGAGUGGGGGAAAAAAAAAGAAUGUUUUUUGUUCUGAUACAAUAGAUGGAUAUUGUUCUGAUAGAAAGAGGUAAACUCAUGGGACAAAACAUUAGAUUAGUAAACUCCUUGAGGUUAAGAAUUUAUAUUUCUUCUGUAUCUCCCCACAGUGCUUAGUAUAAUGCUCUAUCAUGUGUAGAUUCAAUAAAUAAUAACAUAAAAUUACUGACCUUUGGUGCUUAACAUUAAUCACAUAUUGAUUACUGAAGCAUAACCUUUGGUUGUGAUGCCUUUAAUAAUAAAAGAAGAUAGGUGAUAAGUUUCUACAAAUUGAUAUCCAAAUACCAACACACAGUUAAAAAUUGUCUACCAACUGUUCUAAGGGCUUGUCAAUUGUGAAGAACUGUUCUUAAAUAUUCCAACAUCACCACAAAAUACAUUUAAGGAAAAUAAAGAGGAGAAUGAAUACAUUUAAGCUAACUGGUAGAAUUCUUUUUGGAGGAAGGAGAGAGGGGUGUGUGUGUGUGUGUGUGUGUGUGUGUACACACUUUAUUUAAGUAUGUUUUCCUGGAUUCUUAAAAAUUAAAAGUUCUUUAUAUGUAAAUUUCCUGCUUUCUUUUCAGAUUGGAAGCAAAGAAGGGGAGCCAUAAAGGGCAAGAGGCAAAUGUGUACACAUGUACCCGAAUGAAAAAAAGACAAAGAUCAGAUGAAUUCCAGAAUUGGAGCAGCACUUAUUAAACACAUUUAGAUAUACACUAUUUUUUCCCUGCCUCAAUCCCAAAUGAUAAAAGGUUCCUUCCAGGAAUUUCUAAAGCCACCACACAUCCCACUUUGGCAUUUCUGCCCGAUAUCUUUGCCACAAAUACUGGCUUAGAAGAUAUAAGGCAGUUGUUUCCUGCCUAUAAUCUAAACCUUUCUAAAGUUAUCAUAAAAUAAAAAAGAUUUUGUACAGGUAAUGAUUUCCCCAAUGCCAAACACUUUUCUCCUGACCUCUUUCCUUUUUAUUUCCUUCACCAUGCAAUUCUUACAGAAGCUUAAGGUGCUAAAAAUCUCAAGGGGAAAUUCCUUUCAUUGAAAAUCUGUUUUUCUCUUACCCUUCUCACCAUCUUUUUCCCUUCUAGUUGUGGACCAACCAUUACUAAGACUAAAUUUGUACAGAUAAAGCAGAUAAAAUAAACUAUGGGAGCAAUAAGUUCAUAUGAAGCAAAAGACAGAAACAAAAACAGUUAAAAAUAAUACAUAAGCUACCAUUUUCUUCUAACCUCUCAACAUGAGUGUUCUCUGAAGAAAAUCUCAACUUGGAAAGGAGAAAAAUCUGUGAUAGCCAUGCUAACUGAAGAUCAAAUAUAGCUCCCACCACCUUAAGCCCUUUUCAUCUCCUAGGCUAUAUAUAAGAAAUACUUAGAACGAACAAACACCAAUUACAGAUGAUUAAAAAAGCAAUUGGUGGCCCUAAAAAUUCACUAAUUACAGAUCCACUAACCUGAACAAGGCCCUGGCUUUAUUAGUAACUGAAGUUGUUAGUGCAGAAUGAAACCUGCCUGAUAGCAAUUAAUUCACCACUCAUCCUUUUUUCAUUCUCUUUGUCACCAGUCUAAUAUUUCUCUGUCUCUCUCUCUCUCUCUCUCUCUCACACACACACACACACACACACACACACACACACACAAAUUUAAGAAAAUGGAAGUGUGGAAUAGAGCAUAAUUUAUCAUCAUUAAAGGUGGGGAAAGUAUCUCUGAGAACAACAUUGCUGGUUAUCUCAUUUCCACUGCUCUGAAACUUUUUUCAUAUUUAAUAUUGCAUGGAUGUCAAUAAAAUUUUUGUGGCUGUGGUACCUUUUUAAAAUUUAGUCACAUAUACAUUUUUUUUUCCUUUAUUGGGCAAAACUGAGCAUUUCAUAAAGGGCUCAGUAAUUUUUUUUUUUUAAGAGGAGCCAGUUCCCUCUGAUCCUGACCGAAGAGAACACACAACAGUGUAAAGGGCAUUUGUGGCAGAGCUAUUUUUCCUUAGUGUCUCUCUUAACAGAUCAUCUUCCUCUUAAAUCUCUGAAUUAAAUUUCAAUGGGUUCUGACUGCAAAUUGUUAGUCUCUAAAGUGGACUUAAUGCCCAUUGUUUUAAAUAUAUUUUUUAAAAAGUUAAUUCUUUUGUUUUAAAGAAGAAAAUUACAGGUUAGUUCCUAAUUCCUAUGAAAUUUUCUUGUCUUUGUCUCAUAUUUUAUGGGGAAGUUUUGAACACUAUUGCAGUUUUUCUAACAGGGCUUAUAGAGAUGACCCAAAUCUUAAGACAAUAAAUUGGUUGGAGGAAGGGAAAGAAAAAGAAAAAACAUUUCCUGAUACUUCAGUUUUGUGUACAGCAUUUUUUUCUCCUCAUGAUAACUAUUAGGAGAAACAGCAUCAAAAUAUUUAGCAAAUUAAGAUACUUUUCUAACAGAAGCAUUCCUUCAUCUCUCAUGCACACUGCUCAGGAAAACAGAUCGAUAAAAUCUGAACAGAUGAUAACAUUCCAUAUGUUUCUACCUCUUUUCAACAUUCCUGAUAUGGCUGAAACUGCCAACUGUACAAGUUUAGAAGACAUUUUCCAAAGGAAGAUAAAUUUAUUAUACUGAAGCACUUUGUUUGCUUCCCAUCUUUAGAAAACACUUUUCUUUCCUUCUUUCUUUUUAGCCACAAAGCAAAUUCAGGCAGGGUGAUUUAAUCCUGGGAGAAGAUGAAUACCAUUAAGCAACCUCAUUAUUUGGGAAGGUAGUUUCCAUUACCUUGAAUUGACCCCAAAGAUUUUGGUCUUUUAGAUAAAGGAAAUAUUUUUGAACUGCAAUGAUAAGUUGUGAAACAAAAUUGGAAAUGGGUAAAAUUUAAAUAAAAAAGAUUAAGAUUAUAAAACUGCAUCCAGCUAUGCUGAGAAUAUCAAGUCUUACAUUAGGUCAUGGGGAGAACAAUUCAAUUUUUUGUGAAACAUCUGAGAAAUCUCUGCUCCAUUUUCUUUCACAUCAAGUGAGCCACAUAGUUCUGUCUAUGAACAUCUAGCUAUAAUGGAACAUUACUACUAAUGCAGUGAAGACAGCACAGAGACUCAGUUCUGAUUAACAUUCACUCCAAAUACUAAAAUCUGUAUAUAUUGUUAUAAUGUAGUUCAUCAGCUUUUCACCAAUCUUCCAACCAAAGGACUUGGAUCAGUUCUGAGGCAAAUACAUGUUCUAAUACAAGAAGCUAUCAAAAUUUCCCCUAACAUGACAUUAACAGUUAUAGCUGUGGAUUAACUCCAUGGUGUGAUUAAUGCAUGCAUCAUGCAUGUAAAAUUAAAAACAAAAACAAAAAAGGGGGCGAGACAUUCCCUCAACUUUUGUCCAAGAUGCAUAUAGGCUUAGCUUAAAAACAGAUGGUACAAGUCUGAACAAAAAGCAAGAAACAUUGUGGUGUCAAAACCAAACCAGUUAAAAAUAAUACUAAUAUCAAUACCUUCUCUUUUGCCUUUCUAUGAAAAAAGACAUUUAUGAAAUAACAAAUUGGUCAAUUUCUGUUGUUCUACCCCCU
ensembl:lncRNA